UACGUAGGGUGCAAGCGUUAAUCGGAAUUACUGGGCGUAAAGCGUGCGCAGGCGGUGAUGUAAGACAGAUGUGAAAUCCCCGGGCUCAACCUGGGAACUGCAUUUGUGACUGCAUCGCUGGAGUGCGGCAGAGGGGGAUGGAAUUCCGCGUGUAGCAGUGAAAUGCGUAGAUAUGCGGAGGAACACCGAUGGCGAAGGCAAUCCCCUGGGCCUGCACUGACACUGAGGCACGAAAGCGUGGGGAGCAAACGGG
rnacentral:rRNA from 1 species